rnacentral:rRNA from 1 species
CCUACGGGUGGCAGCAGGGGGGAAUAUUGGGCAAUGGAGGAAACGCGGACCCAGCAACGCCGCGGGAAUGAUGAAGGUCUUCGGAUUGUAAAGUUCUUUUCUAAGGGAAGAAGAAAGUGACGGUACCUUAGGAAUAAGCCUCGGCUAACUACGUGCAAGCAGCCGCGGUAAUACGUAGGAGGCGAGCGUUAUCCGGAAUGACUGGGCGUAAAGGGUGCGUAGGCGGUUAGAUAAGUUAGAGGUGAAAUCCCGGGGCUCAACUCCGGCACUGCCUCUGUUACUGUCGGGCUAGAGUUUAGUUGCGGUAGGCGGAAGGUAUGGUGUAGCGGUGAAAUGCAUAGAGAUCAUACAGAACACCGAUUGCGAAGGCAGCUUACCAAACUACGACUGACGUUGAGGCACGAAAGCGUGGGGAGCAAACAGGAUUAGAUACCCCAGUAGUC